rfam:Triticum aestivum genome assembly, contig: Triticum_aestivum_CS42_TGACv1_scaffold_730761_6BS
UUUAUACUCCCUCCAUUCGGAAUUACUUGUCGUAGAAAUGGAUGUAUCUAAAUGUAUUUUAGUUCUAGAUACAUCCAUUUUCGAGACAAGUAAUUCCGAAUGAAGAGAGUAGGAG